GGGGGCGUUAAGAGGAACUGGGCGGGGGGGGACGGACCCCAAAAUGUGGGGCACAGCCCUAUGGGGCGGGGGGGGCGUCCUAUGGGGUGAAGAAUCUGACAGGUAACGAGUGCUGCAAGGCUAAUGGAGGGAUCUAUGGGGCUGGGCUGCAUUCUAUGGGGCUGGGCUGGGCUCUGUGGGGCAGAGCUGGGUUCUAUGGGGCAGAGCUGGGUUCUAUGGGGCAGAAACUGAAGCUGAUGGGACAGAUAAUGAGUUCUAGGAAUCAAAUGAGGAGCUCUGUGGGGCUGGGCUGAACUCUGUGGGGCUGGACUGAGCUCUGUGGGGCAGACCUGAGUUCUAUGGGGCAGGCAAUGCAUUCUAUGGGGCAGAAACUGAAGCCUAUAGAACAGAUAAUGAGUUCUACCAAUCAAACGAGGACCUCCGUGGGGCAGGGGCUGCAUUCUAUGGGGCAGAGCUGCAUUCUAUGGGGCAGAGGCGGGUUCUAUGGGGCAGCCCCCCCCCAGACGUACCACUCCUCGUCCUUGUGUGCCAGGAAGAAGUCUUGCAUCUGCUGCCUCCUGAAGUCCAGCUUGUAGUCGUUGUAGCGCUUCACCGCCUCCGUCUCGUCCACGGCGUCGUCCAGCGACAGCAGGAACUCCUUGAAGCUCUUCAUCACGGGGGGGGCCAUCCCCAAAUCCACCUCCGCGAUGUUCCCCAGUCUGCUUGGGGGGGAGUGGGGGGCGUCAGGACCCUCGGGGGGGGGGAAUGGGGGGGUUUGGGGUCCCUAUGGGGCAGUAUGAGGUUCUAUGGGGCAGUCUGGGGUCCCUAUGGAGCAGUUUGGGGGGGGUUAUGGGGCAGUAUGGGGGGGUUUGAGAUCUCUAUAGGGCACUUUGGGGUCCCUAUGGGGCAGUAUGAGGUUCUAUGGGGCAGUAUGGGGGACUUUGAGCUCUCUAUGGGGCAGUCUGGGGUCCCUAUGGGGCAGUUUGGGGGGUUAUGGGGCAGUAUGGAGGGCUUUGAGAUCUCUAUGGGGCAG
rnacentral:lncRNA from 1 species